rnacentral:tRNA from 3 species
GCCAUCCUAGCUCAGCUGGUAGAGCACCUGAUUCGUAAUCAGGCGGUCGGCGGUUCGAAUCCGCUGGAUGGCUCCA